AAACGGCCCGUUUCCCCUCCCGUCAGUCAAAGAAAACACAUACUUUCAUUUGUUUUGACCUUUUGUUUAUGUCAUGAUUUUUCCUUUUUUACUCAAGCAACAAAAGUGAAAUCAUCUACAUCACGGGCAAAUAGGACAAAGUACCCAAUAUCAUUAUUAUUAUUUUGACUUAGCACCAUCCCUUUGGGGGCCUGCGAAGGAAAAUUAAAAACAAGAUGAAAACACUGGUAAGUCAUCAGCAGCGCUUGACUCCACUCUCCUCCCCACACGCAAUACAGAACGUAGUCCAACAAGCCCCGCCCCCACCACGUUUUGAGACGUACAAGCUCCGCCCAGCCAGGAAAAGUGGAACCCCCGAUGGACGUGAACGCGCACAAGGCGCGGACGUUCCCCACGGGGCAGACCCGUGUAUGGCCGUCUGGGGGGGGGGGGGGUGAUGUUCCCAUGGACAUUUGUCGGUUGUGGACUCAGAGCUGAAGGUGGGGGAGGAGGUGGAGGAGAUUGUGGUGUCCGUAUGCAAAAAAUAAAAGAAGCAAACAACCCAGACACAAAUGUGAGGAAUAAAAGCGGCUUUUUCUAUAAAAGAUUUAAACACCCCUUUUGUGCGCUUUCCUGCCAGGCAUAAUGCCUCCAGCGUGUGUGUAUAUGUGUAAAUGUGUGAAUUGUGUGUUUAUUUGUGUGUGUGUGUGUAUGUGUGUGUGUGUGUGUGUGUGUGUGUGUGUGAGACUGCAGUCCUCCCUCGCAUGGCGUCAUUCAGCAAAGUCUGCUUUGAAUAACUCAAGUGCACUGAGGUUGAAGUCCAAUCUGUUGGGUUUGGGGGGCGUUCUUCCUCUCUUGAAUAAUGGCCCAUUAGGGGGGGACUUUCCUAAAUCGCCGCUCCUAAGCUGCUUACAAUUACAAGCUGCAUUGUUUUUUUUCCGCUCAGGGACCAUAUCACGUGACUCAGAACGUUCCAAGGCGCAGCAAGGCCGUCAUCUCUCAGGUCACGCUCUUCAUUUCUUGGUGAAAUCCUUCCGAUCGAAGGCCAACGGCCUACCUGAUAUCAUAACUCGAAAGCGCGUCUCCAAUGUCCUUUAUUGUCUAUGUCACUCAGGCAGGCAAGUCUGCCAGGUGAAACAUAUCACAGUUUGUGUUUUUUCAACACCUGCAAAAAAACAUAACGCAUUUAAGAAAUCACGGACGAUCAGCCAACAACAAAAUCGAUUGUUUUAAGUUUUUCUUGAAGUGCCGGUUUCAGAGAGAGAGAGAGAGAGAGAGAGAGAGAGAGGAUCACAGCAAAGUCAUUUUAAAGUCUCUUUUUUCGUUUGUAAGUGUGUCUUUGUGUGUGUUUUGGCACUGUUGACCCUGGGAGACCGGGUCCUCCAUGAUCCAUCACAACUAGGGAUGCACCACUAAACCUUUUCCUCAGACCGAUUAGAAGUAGAAGUACCUACAAGUUCUUACAUAUGGGUACUUACUAAGUACCGAGUACCGAUAUGAGUACUUAAUAAUACCGUCACAGUUUAAAGAGCCAGUGAAUCCGCUGUUUCAGCGGGAAAGUCAACUGCUUCCCAGACAGAGCUCAAAAUGGCAAAUACAUAGGAUUUUACCCCUUUUUUAAUCUAAAUUGGGGACUUAUUUCAGUAGAAUGUGAUAAAAUGGCCUAAAUUACUAAGUUGACGAUCAUAUAAGACAAAUUGCUACAAAUAAAAUUAUAUUUUUUUGGGCGUUCACUGGCUCUUUAAAAUUACGUCACAUGUGUAUAAAGUGGUAUCGGGUGGUUUUAUCUUAGAGGUUUAACGAGUAUGAGCACAUGAGCCCAGAAUCGGGCCCGAGUACAAGUUCUGGUAUCGGUACAACCCAACUAACAGAGCGAAAACAGCUCAUAACAUCGUUCGCUCAGGGCCAAACGGCUCGUGUGUCACCACGCCGUCCCAAAAAGUUCAUUCUCGCAUCACCAAAACCAAGAGAACGUAACGUCAUCGUACAACCAAACUGUACAGAGGCUGGUGGGUGACCGCACAUCGGACACAAAAAUAGAUCCAUCAAAUCUAUGCUAGGACAGAAGACAGGCACUUAAGUACUAAUGCAUAGCAGAAGAGGUUAAAGUAAGAGAAGAGAGUGCUGGAGAGCGUAGGGGCUGGGGGGCUAGGCAGUUGUUUCUACUGGCACAAAGCUAAUGUAUUAUUCAUAUCGUCGGUUUACUAUCUGUUCGACAUCCCUAGGAAUCGACUCAUGAAAUUCUCCUCCUUUAGAAAGUAUUCUGACCUCUGCAAAAAUACCUUUUUAUAUAUUUUUUGAAACAAAGUGUCCUAUAGACACCAGUGUUGGUCGUACUAGCAUGAACAGCACGAGCACAGCUAUAGUUGGCAGUGGCUGUUUUCUUCUGUAUCUUUCGAAAACGUAGUGAACGUAGUGUCGGCAUCCUGAGAGUUGGAGAGUAUAGCAAGAUGUGACGCUGGCGCUAAUAGCACUAAGGGGAUUCGCUCAGCUCUAUUUCAGGGGUCACAGCGAAAAAGCUAAUGUGUUAUUCUGAGCGGCAUGGCUUUAGAUGGCCAUAGAGCGUUUGGAAUAGCUAGCUUCAUGUUAAAUAGCGAGCAGGCUACGGGCUGCGUAUGGCUUUGUUUGCGGUUCCGAAAGCAUUAAGUGUGACGUAUUAAAACGGGAUUAAGAAAUAGGAAAAUAGAUGGAAUACAAAGAAGGGAGAUGUCGAAGGGAGCUCAAGUUACAACCGAGUAAUAAGCAGAAAGCUAAUAGUAAUUAUGCGAAUGGUAUUUCUCACAGUAGACAGUAAGGCCAGCAAAUUGCUAAUAUAAUUGUAUCCUUUUGGUGAGCGUUUGCUUUCACUGCGAUCAUGUGUUGAUAUCUUGUGUUUUGUAAUUAAUUACCACCCUCAUAUGCGCACAAAAAUCUCUAAGCAUCAAAAAACUGAGGCUAAAUUGAAAUUGCUUUAUAAUAGCUACAAUCUGAACGUGAGGCACUUUUUGAGCAGAACUAUAACACAUAGGAUAUAUAUCUUCAGCCUUCAAUUCACUUUUUUAAGUAUUUUCUUUCUUCUAUAUUAAAAAAUAUCAUUCUGUGUUUAGGUACCCCUUUUGUAUUUGCUCUCCAUGUCUCCACUGUCAGAGUCUGAGAAUCCAAUACCUUGUGUAGAAUUAAAUUUGGCACAGACACACACACACACAAACACACACACACACACACACACACACACACACACACACACACACACACACACAC
ensembl:lncRNA